GAUGAACGCUGGCGGCGUGCUUAACACAUGCAAGUCGAACGGAAAGGCUCCUACUUUCAGGGGUACUCGAGUGGCGAACGGGUGAGUAACACGUGGGUGAUCUGCCCUGCACUUCGGGAUAAGCCUGGGAAACUGGGUCUAAUACCGGAUAGGACGAUGUUUUGGAUGCCAUUGUGGAAAGUUUUUCGGUGUGGGAUGAGCUCGCGGCCUAUCAGCUUGUUGGUGGGGUAAUGGCCUACCAAGCCGUAGACGGGUAGCCGGCCUGGGAGGUUGUACGGCCACAAUGGGACUGAGAUACGGAGCAGACGCCUAUGGGAGGCAGCAGGGGGGAAUAUUGCACAAUGGGCGCAAGCCUGAGGCAGCGACGCUGCGUGGGGGAUGACGGCCUACGGGUUGUAAACUCCUGUCGCUAGGGACGAAGCGCAAGUGACGGUACCUGGAGAAGAAGCACCGGCUAACUACGUG
rnacentral:rRNA from 1 species